CAACUUUGAACAACGCAUCAUUCAAUUUUCCCCACUUACAACAUUUUGAAUUAAACUCUCUUUGAUAUUUUAUUAGCAUACUUGUACCUGAUGUAUUACUUGUCACGAUGAUAGAAGAAACUAAAUCCAUAUGUAAUUUGGGAGAUUUCAUUAAUAUAUUUCCGGAGUUGUGGUCUGCACGUCUACCGGCGAAGCUGUGCUGCGCUACAAAUGCGAAUCUAAUGCUGCUAUAAAUCUCUGACCCUCCUGCGCAUAUCCUCUUGCCCGCCCGACUUCCUAAGCCCCGGAAAAAUUUGAACUGAAAAUAUACAAGUUUCCGUUACUGGAGUCCAACUGCGAAUCUCGCUCGCAUUCCGCAUACAUUACUCUCGAAGUGCGCUUUCUACGAAAUUAAAUUUUGAUGGGUACCCGGAUAACGAGGGUGAGCACACUUUUUCAUAACGGUAACAAUUUCAUCAAAUAAAAUUAGAACGAAAAAUUCAA